UGGACACUGUUCUUCAUAUGAAGCUACAAGUUCAACAGCCACGCUUUACUUGUUUGGCCUCGUCUUAUUGAAAAAUGAGUGCAGGAAGAUAUUCCAUACCUGACAUCUUGUAAGAUGGAAUGUUUUGACUAUUCCUUGACUUGACUCGUUUGUUCCAACCACGUGCAAGUGGAUGGGAAGCACUCGUUAUAUCUCUUUGGUCACAUGCUUAUUACAAUUUAACAGUUCAAUGAGUAACAUUUAAAGUUAACAGAACACCAUUGAUGAGCUAACUUUCGUUGCACUGACUAGCCUACAGAAAACGAUCAUACGAACAACGUCGAACAUGCAAUGAUGGAAUUCCGGAUCCUGUCUGAUUUGAUUUCACACACAGCUACGUGCUACAAAGACCUAGAACAAAGUGACUAGCGGACAACUUAUUGACAAGUGAUAAGUUGCGAAACAGUGUUGCCAAUUUAUUGUUAUUUAAUUCUUUAUUGUCAAUUUCAUUUUAUAAAAGUAUUAAUUGACAAAGGUCAAAGAAUGGAUCAAUGGAUGCAUCAGUAUCAUUAAAUAAAAAUAAGUUCAUUGGAAAAGCAGAGUUAUAGACAUCUAUAGCUCUGGGAAAAGUGUCAUCAAUUUCACUGCACGCGACAUAGAAAUCAUUCCGUUUAUGGCC